CUGCUGCUCCUAAGGUUACCUCUGUUUCACUGUACCCUGUGGAGGCUGCCUGAUACCUACUCAUUGUUGAGGGGAGAAAUGGCAUCUCACUACUCAUCUCUAAGGGAGGAGCUGCGUCCCCACUCCCCUCUCCAUAUUCUCACCUAAGAUGUCUGCUCCAGAUGCCACUUUCCCCUAGCAGCUUCGAAGUCAUGUGACCUGCUGCUGGCUCAAGCAGUCUAUAUCAGCUGUAUAUACUAAAUUGAAGAAAUGUCUUUUAAACUCAGGUUGGGUGCCACACAUCCUUAGGCCCCCCCUCCUCCCCCCCGAAUUCUUCCUUGUAAUGCCACACACAUUAUUGGUCACUGCAUGCAGUUUGCCCUUCGUUGACAGUUGAACUGCUCCAUAGCUCUGUCCAUGUUAAGGAAAGCAAAGCUCCCACAAGGUGAAACCGCCUCCAGCACGAAUGCAGUUUCCCAAGUCAAUAAGGAAGUGCUGAGACAAGUACGAAGUCCCACCUGUCCUAUGGCUGCCUAGGUAUUUAAUGGAUAGAAUGGGAAGUCACAGCCUCCAACCACUUAGCGACCUGAUGAAAUAUAGUUCCGUACUAUAGUAUAUGUAAUACUUCCACUUUACUGAGGGGCUAAAUGUAGAGGUUCAGGCAGUCCUCCUUUUCUGGCCGAAAUUGACUGAAAGAAUGUGAGGAGUUGCUCAUCAUAAACCGUGUCACAGGAUCCAGUCUCCUUCUGCCAUUACAUUUUCAACAGCCUGCAGCCAUUAAAUCUUUAUGCUUGGAGAAGAAUCAGGCCUCCAGCAAAUGAAGAGGUAAAACUGCCCAGAGCGAGAAAAAAAUGCUGCUGUUUAUACUUUCCUGUGGAUAUCUACUACUGGCUUCAAUAUUUUGUUAACACAAAUUUCCUGAGAGAGAACAAAAACAUUUCCUCAGUUCUCCAAAAAAGGGCUGUUACCGGUAACCCCUUAAUUACACUAAGUGUUUGAAAUGCCAGUUAACUGCACUAAAGUUUCUCAUUUAGCCAACCCUUUUAAAAUUACAACAAAUGAAUACAAUUACAAGAGACAUGCUUCUAUGACAUUAAAAGCACACAUAAACAUUGUUGGGACAUAAGCCUACAAUAAAUAAUUUAAGAAUUUAUCUUCAAUUUUAAAAACAAGAGCAAGGAACAAAAGGCUGGAUAUAAUGAAGUCCGAGUUCAGUGGCCGUGCGGUAGG